AGUAAGUUUUGCACCGUUCAUAUCCAACGUUUGACCGUUCGUCUUAUUCUAUUAAAAAAACUUAUGAUUACUAUUUUUAUUGUUAUUAGAUGAUAAAAAUGUGUGACUUUUUUUUUAUUUUUUUUAUAAAUUUUUUAAAUAAGACGGACGGUCAAACAUUGGACACGGAUACUCACAGUUACACUUAUU
rfam:Oryza rufipogon genomic scaffold, chr03